UUACGGCCACAUCACGUUGAAAACACCGGUUCUUGUACGAUCACUGAAGUUAAGCAACAUUAAACCUGGUCAUCACCUAGAUGGGUAACAACUUGGUAAUACCAGGUGUUGU